rnacentral:rRNA from 1 species
GAUGAACGCUAGCGGCAGGCUUAAUACAUGCAAGUCGAGGGGCAGCAGGGAUGUAGCAAUACAUUCGCUGGCGACCGGCAAACGGGUGCGGAACACGUACGCAACUUACCCAUAACUGAUGAAUAGCCCUCCGAAAGGAGGAUUAAUACAUCGUAAUACUUUUGAGGGGCAUCCCUUGAUAGUUAUAGCUCCGGCGGUUAUGGAUGGGCGUGCGGCUGAUUAGGUAGUUGGUUGAGGUAACGGCUCACCAAGCCUGCGAUCAGUAACUGGUGUGAGGGCACGACCAGUCACACGGGCACUGAGACACGGGCCCGACUCCUACGGGAGGCAGCAGUGGGGAAUAUUGGACAAUGGGGGCAACCCUGAUCCAGCAAUGCCACGUGUGCGAAGAAGGCCUUCGGGUUGUAAAGCACUUUAGUAGGGGAGCAAGGUUACGGCGCUAAUAUCGCCGUGAUUUGAGAGUACCCUAAGAAUAAGCACCGGCAAACUCUGUGCCAGCAGCCGCAGUAACAC